rnacentral:misc_RNA from 1 species
UCCUAGUUAACCUAGGCAGUCUCAUUAGAGUUCCCGACCGAAUCGUUGGCAACUAAUGAUAAGGGUUGCGCUCGUUGCUGGACUUAACCAAACACCUCACGGCACGAGCUGACGACAGCCAUGCAGCACCUGUUUAGCGGCUCCGAAGAGCGUAUACAUUUCUGCAUACUUCCACUAUAUGUCAAAACUGGGUAAGGUUCUUCGCGUUGCAUCGAAUUAAACCACAU